rnacentral:rRNA from 1 species
UACCAGCACCCCGAGUGGUCGGGACGAUUAUUGGGCCUAAAGCAUCCGUAGCCGGUCCUACAAGUCUUCCGUUAAAUCCACCUGCUUAACAGAUGGGCUGCGGAGGAUACUAUAGAGCUAGGAGGCGGGAGAGGCAAGCGGUACUUAGUGGGUAGGGGUAAAAUCCGUUGAUCCAUUGAAGACCACCAGUGGCGAAGGCGGCUUGCCAGAACGCACUCGACGGUGAGGGAUGAAAGCCGGGGGAGCAAACCGG